GUUUAUUGUAGGGCCUUCAUCCCAGAAUAAUCACUGAAGGAUUUGAAGCUGUGAAGGAAAAGCCCUUCAUUUUUUGGAAGAAGUCAAAGUAAGCAGAGAGAUGGACAAGGAAACACUUAAAGAUGUGGCCAGGGCAUCUCUUUGUACUAAAGUUCAUGCUGAACUUGCAGAUGUCUUAACAGAGGCUGUAGUGGGCUCCAUUUUGGCCAUUAAAAGAAAAGAUGAACCUAUUGAUCUCUUCAUGAUUUUGUGAUCAUUGACAAGAAACAUAAAUCUGAAACUGAUACAAGGUAGGUGGUAGAAGACUAUGAAAUACUAAUGGUCGGGCCUGGUGGCUCAGGCAUGUAAUCCCAGCACUUUGGGAAGCCGAGGUGGGUAGAUCACCUGAGGUCAGGAGUUCGAGACCACCCUGGCCAACAUGGGGAAACCCCGUCUCUACUAAAAUUACAAAAAUUAGCCAGGCAUGGUGGCGGGCUCAUGUAAUCCCAGCUACUUGGGAGGCUGAGGCAGAAGAAUUGCUUGAAACUGGGAGGCGGAGGUUGCAGUGAGCCAAGACCACACCAUUGCACUCCAG
rnacentral:lncRNA from 1 species